rnacentral:rRNA from 1 species
GUCUUUUUGAGUUAUUUUAAAAGUCUGACCUGCCCACUGAAUUUAUUUAAAUGGCCGCAGUAUUUUAACUGUGCAAAGGUAGCAUAAUCAUUAGUCUUUUAAUUGAAGGCUGGUAUGAACGGUUGGACGAAGUAUAAGCUGUUUCAUGUAAAUUUAUAAUAGAAUUUUAUAUUUUAGUUAAAAAGCUAAGAUGUAAUUAAAAGACGAGAAGACCCUAUAAAUCUUUAUAUUUUAUGUUAUUUAAGUUUUAUGGAUUUUUUUUAUUUUUUUAAUUUAAAAUAUUUUGUUGGGGUGAUAUUAAAAUUUAAUUAACUUUUAAUUAUUUAAAAUCAUUAAUUUAUGAAUUAUUGAUCCGUUAAUAGCGAUUAUAAGAUUAAGUUACUUUAGGGAUAACAGCGUAAUUUUUUUGGAGAGUUCUUAUCGAUAAAAAAGUUUGCGACCUCGAUGUUGGAUUAAGAUAUAUUUUAGGUGUAGCCGCUUAAAUGUUAAGUCUGUUCGACUUUUAAAUUCUU